UAGAAAUAAAACAUCUUAAUAAUGAUAAUAAUGCACGAAUUUGUUAGAAAACCUAACAAAAAGCUAUACAGUAUCAUGCUAUUGUAGAUAUGUCUCCAGCAUUUACUACAAUACCAGUAUUAAUUUAUUUUAGCCUACAUUAAUAGGCUGUCAUUAACAAUAAGAGCAAAACUUAUGAGCAUGUAUAUGAAAAAGUUAUUUACUUAAUAUUUUACACUAACAUAAAAUGGUAAAUAUAUGCAUGUAGGUGUUAUAGCUCAUGUGGAGGUUUAACAGGUAAAGUCUAACCACUUUUCUUUUAACUGCUCCUGUAAAAUAGUUUUUGUACUGUAAAUUAAUUAAACUGCAUUAAGGUUCAAAUUUGUCUUGCAGGGUCAAUAACAAUCAGUCAUCUGUCAGAGAGAAUUCAAGACUCUUUCUCCAGGCCGACUAAUUGUCUCCAGUGCAAAUGAUCCUCUGUCAUCACACUCCCUGAGGACACUCCAGAGUAGCAGGUCUACAUGUUCUGUUAAGAGACUGGAUUCUGAGAGCGAGAUCCUGUGAAGUGUUUAUCAAAGUUAAAAAGAAGAACUGGAUCUGUGUUCAGCAACUGUCCGGAGUUGGUGGAUGUUCUGUCCGAGCCUGAUUAAAAGAGUGAUAAACGGAUGCUGUGAAGUGAGUCCAGAUGCUACAGACACAGAAAAAGAUGCAGCAAUGGAGGAACACAGCAAGCACCUUCCAGGAAGAGCUGGAGAAUAGUAG